rnacentral:rRNA from 1 species
UAUGGAGGGUGCAAGCGUUAUCCGGAUUCACUGGGUUUAAAGGGUGCGUAGGUGGUAGGAAGUCAGUGGUGAAAUCUCCGGGCUUAACCCGGAACUGCCAUUGAUACUAUUUGUCUUGAAUACCGUGGAGGUCAGCGGAAUAUGUCAUGUAGCGGUGAAAUGCUUAGAUAUGACAUAGAACACCAAUUGCGAAGGCAGCUGCUACAC